GAUGAACGCUGGCGGCGUGCCUAAUACAUGCAAGUCGAGCGAACAGACGAGGAGCUUGCUCCUCUGACGUUAGCGGCGGACGGGUGAGUAACACGUGGAUAACCUACCUAUAAGACUGGGAUAACUUCGGGAAACCGGAGCUAAUACCGGAUAAUAUAUUGAACCGCAUGGUUCAAUAGUGAAAGACGGUUUUGCUGUCACUUAUAGAUGGAUCCGCGCCGCAUUAGCUAGUUGGUAAGGUAACGGCUUACCAAGGCAACGAUGCGUAGCCGACCUGAGAGGGUGGUCGGCCACACUGGAACUGGGCCACGGUCCAGACUCCUACGGGAGGCAGCAGUAGGGAAUCUUCCGCAAUGGGCGAGAGCCUGACGGAGCAACGCCGCGUGAGUGAUGAAGGUCUUCGGAUCGUAAAACUCUGUUAUUAGGGAAGAACAAAUGUGUAAGUAACUAUGCACGUCUUGACGGUACCUAAUCAGAAAGCCACGGCUAACUACGUG
rnacentral:rRNA from 1 species